UACGUAGGGUCCGAGCGUUGUCCGGAAUUAUUGGGCGUAAAGGGCUCGUAGGCGGUUCGUCACGUCGGGAGUGAAAACUCGGGGCUUAACCCCGAGCCUGCUUCCGAUACGGGCAGACUAGAGGUAGGCAGGGGAGAGCGGAACUCCUGGUGUAGCGGUGGAAUGCGCAGAUAUCAGGAAGAACACCGGUGGCGAAGGCGGCUCUCUGGGCCUUACCUGACGCUCAGGUGCGAAAGCUAGGGGAGCGAACAGG
rnacentral:rRNA from 1 species